rnacentral:ncRNA from 1 species
CUAACAUGUAUGCAAAUCUGUGGGUGUUAAACCCGUACAGGCGAAAGGAAACUAAUCCCCUUUUGGGUGCAACACGGACCGACCUUGAUCUUUUGAGAAGGGUUUGAGUGUUAGCAUACCUGCUGGGACCCGAAAGAUGGUGAACUAUGCCUGAGCAGGGCGAAGACAGAGGAAACUCUGGUGGAGGCUUGUAGCGAUACUGACGUGCAAAUCGUUCGUCAGACUUGGGUAUAGGGGCGAAAGACUAAUCGAACCAUCUAGUAGCUGG